UACGAAGGGGGGCUAGCGUUGUUCGGAAUUACUGGGCGUAAAGCGCGUGUAGGCGGGUCUUUAAGUCAGGGGUGAAAUGCCAAGGCUCAACCUUGGAACUGCCUUUGAUACUGGAGAUCUUGAGUCCGGGAGAGGUGAGUGGAACUGCGAGUGUAGAGGUGAAAAUUCGUAGAUAUCUGCAGGAACACCCGUGGCGAAAGCGGCGCGCUGGACCACUACUGACGUGAGGAACGAAAGCUAGGGGAGCAAACAGG
rnacentral:rRNA from 1 species